GGACUAAUAUUAAUUAAUAGUAGUACUCUAUGAACUUUGACAGUAAAAUAAAAAUCAGAUAGUAAAUUUAACAAAUGAAAUCAAGUAUCUUGGUUCCUCACCAAAUAAAAAGUGGUCCAAACUUUUGUUCUGCAGAUACUCAUAUAUCAACAUCAUUUCUUCACCAUGAAUGCAAAAUCCGAAAAGGUGAACCAGGUUUGUAUGUUUGAGUUCAUAUAUAAGUAUCAGUUCAUUCUUGAAUUCUGAUGUUCCUUGCCCUGAACAUUUCGAAAGCCUCUUCACAGCUAUUUCUUGUCCCGUCGCCAAUUUCCCCUGAAUUGAUAAUCCAUAUCAUGUUUUUGCUGUCAUCUUUAGGCAAAUGAAGCUAAUUCCAUUUUUUUUCUUACAGCUUUUGAAUUAGAAGCAGAAAUAUUUUUUUUUCAAAAUGUUACCUUAUAAACCGGUCCAAACCCUCCUUGUCCUAGCUUGUUUUCUUCAGCGAAGUUUCUUGUGGCAGCCACGAUGGAUGAAUAGCUAAAAACGCUAAAAUCAUGAUGUCGCUUAGAUUUCAUGAAGAUAAGCAUUUCGUUCUCAAUCUCUGGCCAGUUCUCACCUAUACAGAUCAAUUAUAAGAAAUUAAAGUUUCAAUGGAGACAACAAUUGUCAAAGAUGUGAUUAAUAAUCCUGUCUUACUGGUGCACAUGAUUUAAAGAAAUAUACCAGCUGAUGCAAGGGCUGAUCUUCUUCGUCGGAGUAGAUAGUACGCGGUGCAAAGCACUAGAGCAGCAGCUAUAGAAAUGCCAAUCCAAACCCAUUUAUCUGCUGCAUCAUAAACAAUUAGCUAGCAACAUAUGCAAUAAGUGUAACACACACGCACAUGUACGCAUUAAUUGUCUUCAAUUUUUGGAUGAACUAGGUCUUGCAGGUUUCUUCCGGAAAACGAAGAAAAAUUCGAGACAGAGAGCAGAACUUAAGACAACAAUAACAAAGAUAGAGGUACCUAAUAAUACUGAUUCCACGCGUGUCACAGAUUUCCGGCUCAAAUCGGGUUUGCAGCCUCGGUAUAUAUCCUUCGGAUCAAGAAAAGAAAACCCUUUUGGGCAUUCGCAGGUUGGCCUUUUAUCUGGUUUGAGCAUACAGGUACUGUUGUAACCGCAAACACCAACGCCCAGUCGUAGGCAAAUAUCAUCCGGCAUAUACACCAGAGGACUAAUCCAACUUGCAUUUCCCGUGAAGUUUUUCGGGUGAGAAUAUAAAGCGAAAAUCCCAUCAAAAUCAAGAGUUGCCCUUAUGUAGUUGUCCCUCACCGACACUCCCUCUGUCCCCUUAAGAGGAACUCUUCCAUCAUUUUCUCUUAGAACAAACAUGUCCCCUGAGCUGCUGAACACCAAUCGUUUGCCUUGACUACCUGGCACGUUCCCUGAGGUGGUCUUCGUGGAGAAGUAAGGGAUGUUGGCAUUAUCUGUUGUGACGGAAAUGAGCACGAGGUUUCCAUCACCUUGCAAGCUCAGCUGGAACCGCCCUUUUGUGUAGUUAGUCUCCGAUUGUCUACACGAAAGCGUCCCGUUUCUCUCAAUUGUCUGUCCAGGCAAAACGGUGUCUGUAGGACUGCUGAAGGUCUCCCACAAGCUCCCCGAGUUUUGGUGUUGAAGGACAAAGUUUCCGGUGUCAUUCAUGACCCCGUUCGCAACAGUCCCCAAGGUUAUUUCGGAUUUCCAUAUCUCUCCACCCUGAGGAUUGUUAAGAACUAGUCCACUGUUGGCAGUCAAGUUCAGAACUGAUCCCCCAGGUGCAACCAUGGGGUUGUUACCGUCAUAUGCAUACCAAACUACGGUUUUGUCUGGGAUUUUCGCAUACCAUAUCGAAAGCAAGAAACGAUCAUUGUUUCCGAGGGGCGAAAAUCCAAACGCGAAAUCACCGGAUGGAGAAAGCCAUGAUGAGGAGUCGCCUGUAGUUGCAGUUAGAGAACUCCCAACUGCUACUCUUCCAUUAUUUUGGGAAAUCACAGAAAUUGGUAGCAAAAACAAAGAGGAGAACAAAAGCAUCUCCACAGAAAGAGCCACUGCCAUUGCAAAAGCACCCAUUUUUCAACUUGGCUUGAUUGAUUAGCUAUAUUUCUUAGUAAAGCAUUGGUCCUUGUUAUAUCUUCAAGUAAAUGUGUGUGCACCAUGUGCCAAUGUGCCAGUCAUUUUCUAAGUUUUUGCCUGGAAUUAAAGGCGUCUACACCAUUUUUUGAAGUCAGUCUUACCUAUCUGCCACGACAUGACCUCAGACCUCGCUACGUCACACACAACAAUAUCUCCGGGCCUACAGAAUAAUUCUCCGAACCUACACAUAUCACAAGAAUUUCACUUUGAAAAAAAUAAUAUAAUGAAUAGUUCUAUAUAUAAUGACACGAUAUUUUUGGUGAUAGAACUUAUUGUCUCUCCCAACUCUGUGUAAUGUUGCAAGUUGGAUCAAUAUUGAUGUAAUUAUUAAUGGCCCGCUAACUUGUCUCUCUCAAAUCUCUUUUCAUCCUACUCUCAUCCCUCGUCCGUUUUAUGAUUCUACUUACUUGAGCACUUAUAAGUGUUCCAAAUCAGCAAAGGACUUGUAACUUAAAUAAUUAAUAAUAUUUAUCACUACACUGGGGAUUCUAGGUUCCAAAAUAUAAUAUAUAAUAUAUAUGAAUGUUCCAAACCAAAAGGACAAGUAAAUACGAGCAUGACUCACGUGGCAUGUGUCGGCCAUUCAAGUCCAACAAUCAAAAUUCAACAAUGGGACCCACAAAGAAAAUUUGAAAACAGACCUCCAGAACCAAACAAAGACGACUAGGCCUUUAUGUCAAGUAUUAAGAGACUUACAUCAUCACAAAAACAAAGACGACUAUGUCUCUGACACGCCCCGAUCCCGAUGUCCUAGGGACAAAGGGAUGGUCACGUGCUGGCCGACACCCGAAGGGUGACGAAAGCCAUUUAUUGAGUGCAAAUGCUGACAACAAGGGAUAGAUAAGACUUAUAAAUAUAAAAGAAUAAAGAAUAUGCCUUUAAGGAACGUGUUCAGAGCAUACAACUAACUAGAAUACUAAAAGAAAUAAUAUAUAAAAAUUGAAUGAAUAACAGAAUGGGUCCUACACCAAGAAGACUCAAAGAUGCCGAUGUGGAAGUGCCUUGACGUCGGGAUUGUAUGCCUCGAUUCUAUGCCCUGAAGGGGGCGCAAAACAAACAUGAGUGGACCAAUUUGAUAUAUAUAUAACAAAACAGUUAUCAACGUACUAACCCCCAAGUUUUAUGAAAACACAUAUAUAAUGAUAAACAUAGGUUUUCCGAAACCUAGCAUGCCGUGCAAUGUCUCAAAUCAUAACUCAUACAUAAUAAUCACUAGUGAAUUGUCCGAUAACCCCCAGGCCCCAUGCCGGCUCCCCGUCUCUGAGCAGACAGUCAGAGGAAAAUACACUUCAGGCCCCAUGCCGGCUCCCCGUCCCUGUGCUAAAUAGCCAGAGGAAACACACUUCAGGCCCUAUGCCAACACCAAACCGUCGCCCGGGACGGACCAGAAUCUAUCCCUACGUCCCGUAGCGGAAAGGACCACUAGGUAAAUACAAAACCAUUGAACAUAUAUAUAUUGAAAAACAACUUCAUAGUAUAAAGUCAUCCAUCAUCUAUACUAUAAAGAGGUGUUUGAAACAUGUUCUAAAUAUCAUAUCGUCAUCCAUCAGAUAUUCUAUAAGAACACGGGUUAUAGGAAAAAUAGUAAUAAUUCAAACUAGCCUCAGUAAGCAUGUUAUGUCACAAAACGUUUCAUAAAACGUAAUCAUCAAAUCAUGCUUUUCAUGUAUGCAUUUCUACUAUAAAACAUGCAUUUUAGAAGGGGUCCACUCACAGUACUUAGUUGCCAAAUGCUGCGCCACUAGCGAAGACGGAAACGUCACAAUAAUUGCCCCUAAGCACAUAAAUGGUACAAUAAAUAAAACUAUAUAAUAGAAAUUGAAUUUGAGAAAACGGACAUUGGAAACGGAUCCAGAACGUCGAAUUACCCUAAGAAGGGUUUGAAUUAAAUAAAAUAGGGAAUUUGGAAUUGAAUGGGUUUAGGGUUUUAAAGGAUUUGGGUUAUAAAGGGUUUAGGGUGAAAAUGGGUGGUUUGGGCCUAAGCCCAAACACACACACGCACCACACAAACACACACACGCACGGCAUGCACAUGCAUGCAAGCAUGCAUAUACACACACGUACGCAUGCACUUAAACACACACACACACACAAACCACAAAGGCCUUAAGGCCUCACACAAGGACCGGGCUUUAAGCCCUUUCACUCAAAACCGGCCCAAGGCCCUUUGGGCUGCUGAAAAUAAAUAAUUAAAUAGAAUAAAAACAGGCUGGGCUAGGCAGGGAAGGCCCAAAGCCUUGGGUUUUGGUGGAUCGCCGGAUCCAAUGGGAGAGAAGGCCGGAAAUUCGGCCGGAAAACCAUCCCACUUUAAACGGCCAUAACUUUAACAAUACUCAACGAAAUCAAGCGAGACAAAAACGAAAGUUAUAGCCCUUGAAGAGACGAAGAGAAUGAUACCUCACACGAUGUCUAAUUCGCCGUGGUUUGGCCGGAAAACGCCUUGAAAGCCGUCGGACUCGCCGGAAACUGGGUAAGAUUCAAAUGAGUAUAACUUUUCCAAUACUCAACGAAAUUGAGUGAAACAAAAAGGAAAGUUAUACUACUCGACGAGACGAAGAGAUUGAUACCUUGCACGCCGGCCAACUCGUCGUGGUUUGGCCGGAAAUGGCCUCGAAAGGGGCGGUGCUCGCCGGAGCUUACUCCGUGUCGUCGAACUCGCAGGGCAGGGUCCAGGGUUCGUUGCGAGCCUCUCUUCGAUGGUGACUCGGUCCUAGUGAGUCCAGGGGAAGAGAGAGAGCCGAGAGACAUACAGAAGAAGGAAGAAAAGAAAACAGAAAAGAAGAAGAAGAAAGAAGGGAGUUCACGGGGGAGGGACAGAGAGAGAAGGAAGAGUGACGGGAAUGGGGGACACAAAAACAGAAGGUGGGCCCCUUGGGCACACCAAUUAAGAAUUAAAAACCAUUUUUAAAUAAAAUGGGGGUGAGGUGUUACAGUCUCCAUUUCUGUAUUCACAAAAAACAAAAUACUAACUGAAGUUUUUAAUGUAUGAUUACGUCGUUGGGGUAAAACACCCCAGGCCGAGUUGUCACAGUCUGGCGCAAACGGACGCAGAGACCCGAACCACUCAUUUUAAAUCAUACGGCCUUCAUUAGCCUAUCUUAUUGACCCACAUCACACAAGGGGUUCGAAUCUCUCUCUCUCCCCUCUCUUAAACGGUUUGGAUAUCUCGGUUUGUCGAUUUUGGAUUGCGAGAUUCAGAGAGAAUCUGAUUUCGGGUUUAAGGUGUGGUUCGACGACCAUUUGAAGCCCGUUGAGGUGUGGCCCAUCUCAUCAGGUCGAGUCAGCCAUUUUGUACCAGGUUGGAUCCCAGGUCAGGCCAACCAUUUCAUUAGCCUAAGAUGGACCUGACAGACGAGGCGCUUGGAUAUUGCCCACCGCGACCAAAUGGACCCAUGGGCUCAUUAGAUGAUGAAUCUGGACCCAGGUGUGUGUAAAGCCCACCUCAGCUCGAUCCAUAUUUGACCGAUACUACAGAGAAGGUGGAGAUGAGGUAAAGGUAGGGUAAGCUCCAAGUCAUGUGGAGGUCAGUCAAGAUUGAACGCACGUUCAUAGAAUCAUAGUAUCAAAUUCAAGUCCAAAUUUUAACACUACGAAACCAAAAAGCAUGCAACUCCGAAAAACAUUAUUUCAGUCCAACAACCCAAACUUCCUUAAAAAACUAAGACCAAAACGACGACACCAGGAAACGGAAAAACAUGCAACUCAGAAAACCAUUGCUCUAGUUCAAAUGAGGUUCCUCAAUGCCUCAAGCUUUUCUAAACACCAUAGCCUGAACCUUUUCCUUUGCGCCUUCUUUGCUUCACCAGAAACGUUCUUAAUGAGCUCCUCUUCAAAUUUGAGACGAGUAGGCAUUAGGCUGUGCACAAUGCUGUAAAUGCCCCUAGCCCUUGCCACACCCUAGGUGCGUACGUGUGCAUGUCCGACCUGAGUUAUCUCAUUACGCGCGCAGUUAUAUCUUCCCCUAUUGACAUCCCUGCUGUCUAUUCUCCUACGAAUCCUUCUGCUGGUGACUUCAUCCGGGUCCAUUUUCUUGCUCCUCAGUGCAUGUUCAUCUGCUUUUCCCUGUUAAUAAAUAUAGGAAUCCCAUAACAAACAGCAUUUGACAAAACAGAACCUAAUAAUAACAACAAAACUUGACUUCAUCCUCAGUUCAUGUUCAUCUGCUUUUCCACUUCAAAGCAGCUGACGGCACGAUUCGUACUUGGACUCCAAGAUGUCUAGAUUAUGGAGAAACCAGCCCUUUGUUCAAAACACACAAAAAAGUGUAUUUUCCUUUUAUACCAAUUAAGUGUGUUGAAGCAUGUCCCACAUGGCCACAUCGGAAACUUGUUGAAGUUUAAAUCCUCUUAUAUAGAAAGUUUGACUACUAAUUGCCUUGAGGACUUAAUUUUGUAUAAAACCAUACCUAUUGAAUUGCACACGUGCUUAAGUUAAGGUCAUUAUUGAUGGUAAUUAGUAGUGGGCCGCUGGGUCAUCUUCAAAAAACUGGUACAAAGGGCAAUUUAUAGAAGCAGUGUUGAGAUAAGGGCAAUUCACCUCUUUUUUUUAGAAGGAUAUAUAUGAAUGAAGCAAGGUUUAUCUGCUCACCCGUAAUGCGGCUCAGCCCUUCAUCAAAAAGUGAAAGAUCAAAAUUACUUUUACAGCAAGAGCAAUAACCAGAAGAUGUAAUCUAAAUUAUUUAUAUUUGGUUCCCUUGAAAUCCUUUUGACUGCUUCAACAUAUAUGCAGACAGAACCAGAACCAAGUCCAGACUCACUCGUAAUAGGUCUCCUCAUCCACAACAAUAUCCCAGCUUUCCCUUGUCGUGGUUUUCCCAUAUUUGUGCACCUUACUGCAAAGAGAGAGCAAGUUAACUUGUCAAAGAAAAACCAGAACAAUAGAUGCCAAUGCAGUUCAGAAAGUUUAUUUCCCUUCAUACCCAUUUCCAAAGUGCUCUUCUCCCCAUGUCCUCGACCAACCUAGACAUGAGAGAACAAAAACAGAGUUACAUCAGAUUAAAUUAUUGAAAGAAAAAGGUUCACUUCUGUUGUAACAAAUCGACAUUAGAAUCAAGCAACCACGCUAUGAAAUACAAAUUUAAAAUGUAACAAUUUACUGUGUCUGAAAGGAAUCUGUGAAAUAAAAUAGCUAAACCCUAAACAGCACCACUGCAAAUAGCAUAAGAAAAUUAAAAUUAACCCUAAAGAAACCGGGAGAGAAGAAUAUGAAAAGGGAAUACCUUUCGGCCCUUUGAGUUAUUGGAAAAAAAACCCAACAGAGCAAAAGAUAAACAAAAAUAUGGGAGGAAAGAAAGUAAAUUUUCAACUUGUAAGAUUCAUACCCGAACAGAUUGGCGGUCAAAAGCAUUUCGGAACUCAGAGCCAUCAAGCUUUUUGAUCUGCAUGGAAAUUAUUUAUGAAGUUUGAGAUUCUUAUAGACGCUUUAGACACAUCGACAUAUUGAAAAAGCAAUAUUCAACAACCUAGUACCCAUGCUCCGUAGAAGGUUACAGAAAAUAUGAAUGUCUGGACUCUGGAGUGAGAAAGUAAAAGGACUUACCGCAUACUUCAUAUCUUAUAAGUUUUUGUAGUCUACAAUCCCUAUUGUGCCUACAAAAAAAGGCAUAGGACAAAAGCUAAAUCAAUCGAAAUUUUGAUGUCUCAUGAUCUACGUCUUAGGAUUAAACUACUGGGAGCGGCUAGGGUUUGAGUAUGGAAGAUAUGAAAAAUGGAGAGAGCACCUGUUUUUGGCUGAAGCAACAACUCACACACUCCGGACAAAUCUGCAAAUGUCUAAAAGGGGGAAAAUAUAAUAAGAAACCUUAACAACUGAAUUCAAAGAAACAUUAUUACAUUGUAAAUAGCAUUUCACAAAAAACAAAAUACUAAACUAAACGAAUUACACUCGGAUUGCAAUGUUAUCAUUUAAUAAUAGGAAUUCCCUAACUUAGCAGAAGAUCCUGCAUCUGCAAAGGAUCCUUUAAAACCUAUUUUUUUGAACAACCCCGCACAUGCAACACAUCUAGGCAAGCUAAACCAAUAGCACCCUCAUGUUGAGCUCUUCUGUGCAUAUAUACCUGUCAACUAAAAGCAGCCAUGAGUAUUGGAUGGCUAGUGAAGUUAGGCUAGUCAACUUUCUUUAUGUAAAUUAGGCAAGUUAGGUAAGUUAGGCAAGUUAGGCAAGUUAGGCAAAGUUAGGUCUUAUGUCUUCUUUCUUUCCCUAUAUAUAUGUUCAUCUUGUAAUGAGAAAUAAUCAUCUAAUAUAUCAAGGAAUUAACUCUAUUUUGGCAUGGUAUCAGAGCAAUUCUGAUCCAAAAAGAGUUUCUAUUCUGAUUCACUUACUGGCACUACUGCCAUCUACCCAAUAAGACCUGCUAUUCCGCAGGUCUUCUACUUUCAUACCAAUCCAAUCUUACUCUUUUUUCAUUUGGCCAUAUCUGCCAACAUUAUUACCCAUAUCCAGCUUGUUAACCAUACAUAUUCCGCUUCAUCUUUUCCCAUAUUUUUCCCAUUUGCAGUAUCUCUGCAAAACCCAGAAAUCUUUCCACAAAAAAAAAAAAUAUACUACCCAAUACCUUAUAAGCCAUACCCGUUGGAAUCACCCAACAAAUUUACCCAUAACCUUUGAGGCAGUAAUAAUGGGUGACUCCAAGACCACUGUUUCAGCUACUGUUCAAAGUGAUAUGUCUCUACAUAUCACCCCAGACAAGUUGGAUGGGUCCAACUAUUCCUCAUGGUCCCAAAGUGUCUGCAUCUACAUCACUGGCAGAGGUAAAUGGUCUUAUGUCAGUGGAACAAAAAUGGCACCAGCAGAAGCUGAUGCAUUGUAUGUUAUAUGGGAGGAAGAGAAUGCCAUGGUUCAAUCUUGGUUACUCAACUCCAUGACCGGAGAUGUACGGGCCAUUUUUCUCCGACUCUCUACUGCAAAAGAUGUUUGGGAUGCUGUUACCCAAACUUACUCAAUUGAAAAAGAUGCAUCAAAGUUAUACGAACUUCGCCGUCAAGCACUGGUGACUCACCAGAAUGGAGAACCUUUAUCUGCAUAUUAUGGUAAACUUCAGCAAACAUGGCAAGAAAUUGAUUUCUUGCGUCCUGGAAAAUUGAAGUGCGCUGAUGAUAUUGCUACCCGAGAGACAGAAAUUUCGAAAGAAAGAUUGUAUGAUUUUCUGGCUGGUCUUGAUCCUCAUUUAGAUCAUGUUCACAGUUAAGUUUUGACUCAAACAACUCUACCUUCUGUUCGUGCUGCUUAUGCUCUUGUGAAUGCUGAAGCAAGUAGGCAAACCAUUAUGUUGGUUGGCCCACAAGUGGAAGGAUCCGCCAUGGUAGCUGCUCCGUCUCAAUUUCCCCGUGGAGUCUCCAAUUCUCGAUUAGGUGGAUCCAAAACUACUGAUACAAGGAAGUGUACUUAUUGUGACAAGGAUAAACAUACUAGAGACACUUGCUUCAAGCUGCAUGGAUAUCCUGAUUGGUGGGUUCAAAAGAAAGAAAAUAAAAAGAAAGGCAUUGGUGGAUCACAAGCACACCUGACACCAACGCCUUCCAUACCUCGGGUGGAUCAAUCUGCUCACUUAGUUUCUCCUACUACUGCUUCUACUUCCUUAGUCGAUGCAGGUAACUUUGGUUUUGCCUUGAACACUACAAUUGUUCCUCCCAAUAAACCUUGGAUCAUUGAUUCAGGGGCUUCUGACCACAUGACCAAUAACUCUACAUGGUUUGUUUCUCACACUACUCCACCUUUAAAUACCGUUAAAGUUGCUAAUGGUAUUUCUACUCCAAUGCUUGGAGCAGGCUCCAUCUCAUUAACACCAGGCUUAUCUCUCUCAUCUGUUUUACAUGUUCCUAAUCUUUCUCACAAUUUGCUUUCCAUUGGUAAACUUACAAUCAACUAAACUGUCUUGCCAUCUUUUCUCCUACCCAUUGUUGGUUUCAGGAUAUUCGAACGAAAGCAUUGAUUGGUCAUGGUAGAGAGAGGGGAGGUUUAUACUACUUGGACUUACCACCAGAUUGUGAGAAGACAAGUUACAGUUGUCAAGUGGAGGCCAAACAAUUUGAAGCUUCUGAAAAAAUUUGGUUAUGGCACAAAAGAUUGGGACACCCUUCCUUUCAGUACCUGCAAUAUCUAUUCCCUUCUUUAUUUUCUAAAGUCAAGGUUUCUAAUUUCCAUUGUGAAAAUUGCAUUCUUUCUAAAAAUCAUCGUGUCUCAUUUCCUUUAAGUUCCCAUAAAAGUAAUGUUCCUUUCUCUCUUAUUCAUUCUGAUGUUUGGGGACCAUUUCAUAUUCCUACUUAUACUGGUGCUAAAUACUUUGUCUCUUUCAUUGAUGACUGGACUCGAGUUUCUUGGGUAUACUUACUCAAAAAUAAGAGUGAGGUUAUGUCUAUUUUUCCAAUCUUUCAUCAAAUGAUUCAAACCCAAUUUCAUGCUAAAAUUCAAGUUGUUCGAUCUGAUAAUGGGAAAGAAUAUUUGAAUUAUGGACUUGGAACAUUUUUUCAACAACACGGUAUCAUUCAUCAAACAUCUUGUCCACAUACUCCUCAACAGAAUGGUAUAGCAGAACGUAAAAAUCAUCAUCUCUUGGAUGUGGCUCGCUCUUUAUGUUCUGCUAUGCACGUUCCUAAACGUUUUUGGGGUGAUGCCAUUCACACAGCUGUUUUUCUUAUCAAUCGCAUGCCAUCACGUGUUCUCCAAUUUCAAACACCUAUCCAGACCCUUUCCCAAUAUCAUUCUCUUCCUUCACUCCUUCAUAUUCCUCCAAAAGUGUUUGGUUGUGUUUGCUACGUUCACGUCCCCAUGCAAAAUCGUGAUAAGUUGGGUCCUAGAGCCAUCAAAUGUGUGUUUAUUGGCUAUUCUGCUACUCAGAAAGGGUAUCGAUGUUACUAUCCUCCCACUGGGAAAUUUUUUGUCUCUAUGGAUGUUACCUUUCGGGAACACAAGGCAUUUUUUUCAAAAGAAGAUUUGGCCACUUCUCUUCAGGGGGAGAUAUGGAGUAAGGAGGAAGAGAAGUUGCCGCUUGACAUUGGUGGUAUGCAUUUUUCAGAUGAACACUUGUCUGAUGUCGGUGAUGGUGCAAAUUUGCCUAAUGAUGAGGCACAAGGUGAAAAUAUUGAAGGUGUAUGAGAGGACAAGAAAAAAAGGAGAUAAAGAAAAAAUGGAUGAUGAGAUAGACCACCCACAAACAAAUCCCCACAUUGACCAACUUUCUGACCAAUCAGCUACUACUCGUACGAAUUAUCCUGAGGUAACCACGCAUUCUCCCUCUCUUCAGCCUACUAUAUUUGAUGAGUCCAAUCAUGAGAUUUCAUUAAGUGAUGAUCCAAAUGAUUCAAAUGAACCACAUCGUGAGUCUCAGGGUUCUCGUUAUCCUAUUCGAGAAAAUCGAGGGAUACCCCAUGUUCGUUAUGGUCAUUCUUCUACAAAGGGUAUUCAAUAUCCUAUAUCUAAUUUUGUUUCAUAUCAUCGCUUGUCAGACUCUUAUAUAUCUUUUGCAAGCCAAUUGUCAUCAGUCUCAGUUCCUAAUAAGUUACAGGAUGCUCUUAAAGAUCCAAAAUGGAAAAAGGCUAUGAUUGAAUAGAUGGAAGCGCUUCGAAAAAACUCCACUUGGGAACUGGUUGCACUUCCUGAAGGCAAGAAACCUGUUGGGUGUAGAUGGGUGUUCACAGUAAAGCAUAAAGUUGAUGGUUCAGUGGAAAGGUACAAGGCUAGACUGGUAGCCAAAGGUUAUACUCAAACCUAUGGCAUUGAUUAUCAGGAGACAUUUGCUCCGGUAGCAAAGAUCAACACUAUCAGGGUUCUUAUGUCAUUGGCAGCAAAUUUAGGGUGGCCUCUACGACAGUUUGAUGUAAACAAUGCAUUUUUACAUGGAGACUUGGAUGAAGAGGUAUACAUGGAUGUUCCUCCAGGAUUCACUACCACUUACGAUAUUGGCAAAGUAUGCAGGUUAAGAAAGUCCUUGUAUGGAUUGAAACAAUCACCAAGGGCAUGGUUUGGCAGGUUCGCUCAAUCAAUGAGAAGUUAUGGGUUCAAGCAAACUCAAGCUGACCAUACCUUAUUUCUUAAGCAUGAUAGAGGUAAACUUACAUCCUUAAUUGUUUAUGUGGAUGAUAUGAUGGUUACAGGUAACGAUGUCGAGGAAAUUCAAAAACUUUAGAAGUAUCUAGCCAAGGAAUUUGAAAUGACGGACUUGGGUACUUUGAAAUAUUUCUUGGGUAUUGAAGUUGCAAGAUCAAAGCAUGGCAUUUUUCUUUCUCAAAAGAAAUAUGUUAUAAACUUAUUAACUGAAACUGGGAUGUUAGCUUGUAAACCUGCAGACACACCAAUUGAGCAAAACCAUAGAUUGGGAGACUAUCAUGAUCAAGUUCCGGCUAACAAGGAAAGGUACCAAAGAUUAGUUGGGAGGUUGAUUUAUUUGUCUCAUACACGACCUGACAUAGCCUAUGCUGUAAGUGUAGUGAGUCAAUUUAUGCACAGGCCAAGUGAAGCCCACAUGGAUGCUGUACAAUGCAUUCUCAGGUAUUUGAAGUCUGCCCCUGGAAAAGGCUUGAUGUUUUCCAAUCAUGGACAUCAAGAAGUUGAAAGGUACACUGAUGCAGAUUGGGCUGGGUCAGUAACUGAUCGCAGAUCGACUUCUGGAUACUUUACAUUUGUUGGAGGAAAUCUAGUUACUUGGCGCAGUAAGAAGCAACAUGUAGUGGCUAGAUCCAGUGCCGAAGCUGAAUUUAGAGGUAUGGCACAUGGUGUGCAAGAAUUGUUAUGGCUCAGGACUUUGUUGAGAGAAUUAGGUUUUAAUUCUGCAAAGCCAUCAAAACUUUAUUGUGAUAACAAAGCUGCCAUUAGCAUUGCUCAUAAUCCAGUUCAACAUGAUCGUACUAAACAUGUUGAAGUGGAUAGGCACUUUAUUAAAGAAAGGUUGGUUGAUGGUACCAUUAACUUGCCUUAUGUGAAGAGUGAUGACCAGCUAGCAGAUAUUUUAACAAAGGCAGUGUCAAGUAGGAUUUUCCAUCUUUCACUCAGCAAGCUGGGCAUUCAAGAUAUUUACGCACCAACUUGAGGGGGAGUGUCAACUGAAAGCAGCCAUGAGUAUUGGAUGGCUAGUGAAGUUAGGCUAGUCAACUUUCUUUAUGUAAAUUAGGCAAGUUAGGCAAGUUAGGCAAGUUAGGCAAAGUUAGGUCUUAUAUCUUCUUUCUUUCCCUAUAUAUAUGUUCAUCUUGUAAUGAGAAAUAAUCAUCUAAUAUAUCAAGGAAUUAACUCUAUUUUGGCAAUACCCCUUAUAAGUAAUCUUAAUCAAUCAAUUACCAUGAAUAUAGUCAGUUAUCAUGAAUAUAGAACUUAUAUUAAUUUUCUACAAUAUCCAACACACAAAUAUAACAGAAGAGGAAACUUUUACUUAAGCAGCACAAAAUGAUAUCCUCUGCAUUUCAUUCCAAAAUCCAUCACUCUUAUGUCUUUGCCUACACAGUUUUUCUUCCAACAUAGCCUGCCAUGAUGAUAGCACUAUCAAUAAUUAAGACAUAAAGAAAGGCUAUCCUAGCUAGGUAUUAUCAUUGGAGUAAACCAACAACACCAUAAGUAAAGUAGCAGACCAAUUCUUUGUAGAAUUGAUGUCUUAACAUGUUUAAGUAGCGAAAAGAUUACAACACAUUGGAUGUGUUAACACAUCCACAAGCUGAUGACUCCCUCUCCGGUUUACCGCAUCAUUCUUAAUGUAUUCAACAAUGCAGCAGCAAUUAAAAGUCCUUGGAAAAUGCCAAGCUACUAUAAUGACAUAACGAAAACUAUAUCUCACCUUACCCCCUUGUUGGCAUAGACAGCAUAUCCGUCCUUGUUCGGGGUGAAUCAUAAUCCUGAACUCAAGCAUCAUCAUCGUCGAGAAUGUCAAACUGUAAAUCAACCAUGCAUGGAACAAAACUUAGAAAUUAAACAAUUAUCAAAGCUUGUGAAGAAUGCUAAACCCAACUAAUUCGAAACAUAAAGUAACCUGAAAGAGAGAAAACUUAUAAAUUUUACAUAAAUUAUAAUCCUUAACAGAAGGAUGGAACAAAACAGGUUCAUUCUUGAGAAUAGAUGUAAUUUUGCACAUUGCAUAUAUGUAGAUUAAGGACGGUGGUAACAUACCUUGUAAUUUGUACAAAUUAGGAUUUUCAUUCAAAGAACUAUAAUAUACACAAUUACAAAAAAAGUGAUUCAAACUUGUUCUCCUCUUAAGGAAAUUACUCACCAUUAAAUGGACGAAGUUUUGGCUUCCCUUUCCGGCUAUAUUUGAUUAACCUUUUUUUAAUCCAAUGAGUGCCUUCAUGAAAGAGAAAGAGAGGAAUAUUAGGUGAAAAGUAUUGCCAAAUCACACAGAGAUCAAAAUCUUGAAUAGAUAUGUUUAACCAUAUCAAAGUGAGUGUGUGAAAGGGUGUAGUCUGCAGAAAGGGCAACAUUUUCACUGCUAGAAAGUUGGAAACUAAACUUUUACACAGAUAUUGGAUUUUAUUAUUUCCCUCCACGAAUUGAAAAGAAAAUUGUUCGAGUAAUGCAGGUAAAUUCGAUAUACAUAUGCGUUGAUCUAUGUAAGACGGUUAUAAGUUAUAACUAUAUCGUCUUAACACAAAAAUGAUCAUAAAUGUAAGUGUCUGUAUUAUGGAAGUAAGGGACUUACAACAAUUGCUAUGAGAUCUAACAGCAAUCAAUCCAAGUACCCUAUUACGGAAGUAAGGGACUUAUAUCAAUUGCUAUGAGCUCUACCAACAGUCUCUCAAAGUGGUGCAAGGGCUAAAAUUAUAAAUAAAAGUAAUUUAAACAAUUUAACUUAAUAAAAUAUUGUAAUUUAAACAAUGCCUAUAUAUUCAAACAUCCCAAAACAGGAAUGAACUUCUAGAAAACAUGCGCAUGAAAAUAAACAGCAUUACUAACCCAUUGAGUUGGAUCAUCAAACUGGAGCGUUAGAAGGAUCAUCAUGUACCUAUGAAACCCAAGGGAAAAUUUUAGCAACCCCAAAGCCUGUAUGCAAGUGUGAAUAAGUAUGCGUGUAUGAAUCUAUUCAUAGUGAAGAAGGCUACCUUAAUAAAUAUUUGCAUCUGCAGCUUCAUAUGGUCAUACAACAAAAAGCACCGCAUAUGAUAACAAACCCCAGCUCCACCACAAAAGGAAUAGGAUCUUCCUCUCAACUUGUAUUUGCAAUUGUUACUGUAACAUCUGCAGACAGCAUACAUAAGCACUUAUUCGAUAAUUCUAAAGAAAAAAAGUUCUUGUUCGAUAAUGCACCAAAUCCUAUCCAAAAACCAAAGGGGUGCCAUAUCCCUAGAUUAACAGAGCAUCUUUCUUUGUUCCAAAACAAAUUGCAAUUGGCUUUGGUAAAGUAGAAAGAUUACCAGACACCGACUGUAUUCCAUUAUUUGAGCAUUUUACUGUCCUUUUAGUUCUAUCUCUCAACAUGGGAAAUACAAUAAGACAGUAAAAACAAAAGUUACUGAUAGCUAUUACAUAGUGAAAGAAAAUAAGACAUUCACAUAGUGAUAGCUAUUUACUGUCCUUUCUCAUCAUAAUCUUGGCCCCUAUAUAUAUACUGAAUUUUGAAAGCAAUGAGAGAAAUAUACCUUUGGGGCGUCAAUGCCAGAAGGGUGAGUGAGGGAUCUAAGAUGUUUGAGAGCAGGAAUUUUUAAGUAAUUUGUGUGAAAAAAGUUGAAGAGCUUCGAACAGAGUGGAGUGGGUUGGCCUGGGCUAAAAUAAAGAGGAUGAACUCUAGAAAGUAGAAAAUGUUGUUGUUCAACCAAACUCAAAAGUAACGAAACCAUACAAUUAACAUAUAAAUAAGUUAUAUAUCAAUGUUUACAUGUACGUUGUUUGAGAAGGUAAAUUAGCAACAUAUACAGUGAUCAAAAGAUUAACAACAAUAAACUGCUCAUUAUUCGAAAUAUACAUGAAAGUUGUCAUUCACAUGAUCCAAAUGGUAGAGGAAAAAACAGAAGGAAGCAAAUAUUAUAGCAGCAUAAGUUGAAUAAUUGCAGAAAGUAAACAAAUAGAAAGGCUAGCUAGAUUACACAAUCUAGUUCUAGGUCGGACUAACCAGGUUAGCCAUCCGCUCACUACCAGCACCGUCGGCGUCUUAUUAAAAAUGUAGAAUAGAAGACUCAAAAACUGGAAAUGAAAGCAGGUAACAUUGAGUUUUAAUAACCAAAAAGGGACACUGUUUAAGCAGCUCCACAGCAGCAACUAUACUUGGACGAUGAGCUGCAAAAACAGAAAAGAAAACACAAAUUAAACUAAAAAAAUAUAAAAUUUAACACUAAUCCAAGGAUUAAAUAUCAAAUAUAAAGUCAUUAGGAUUGGGACCUUUGCAUUGAGGAAUAUCUACUACAUUAUGAGUUCCCUCCUGAUAAAGCCCAAUCAGGGGGUUUUCCGGUGAGCCAAGAACGGCUAACUUUGCGCGACACCGCUGUGGAUGCAAAUUUCUUCCUCCUCGAUCUUGGACGAUUUUGCACCUACAAAACAAUUAACACCUUAGGUUAAGACCAAGAGCCUCACGCGCCCACGAUGAAUGGGGGGGGGGCUUUGGCCGAAGAACCUCCGAUGCCAAAGUUAGAAUUUAGAGAGAAAGAGUGUUUAGAGAAUUUUGGGAUUUUUGCCAAAGUGUUGGAAUUAGCUUUUUGGUGAGAAUGGGAGUAUAUUUAUAGGGAUAGGAGGUGGCUAGGGUUUUUAGGUUUAAUUAGCCAAUUUAUUUGGCUAUUAAACAUAAAAUGAAUGUUUUGGUGGUUUUUUGUAUAAUUGGCUAAUAAAAAGGAAGAAAUGGUGGGAAAAGGUAGAAAAAAGGUAAUGGAUUAGGUUUUUCAAUGGGAUAGCCGGCCCUCUUGUGUUUUUAGGUUUGAGUGGAUGUUUCAAAUUGACAAUUAAGGGAUUGAUUAGGUAAUUAAUCCCUUAAUUAGUCAAUUAUUAUGAUUUUAUGAAAUAUGAAAGGAAUAAGUAUAUUAUUUAGCUAAUUGAUUAGCUAAAUAAUGAAAUGGGAAAUAUAUGAAUAAAUUAGGUUUUAAGUUGAUACCUAUUUUGGGCACUUUUGACUUGGUUGAAAAAAUGAUUCUCUACUGCUCGCGUGUAGGAAACCCGGUAUGCCUCGAGGGUAUUUUUGUCCUCUUUUGUCCAAAAGUCCACCUGUCGCCUAGUGAAUAUUUUUGGCUCCACAAAUGCCCCCACACCUGUUGGGCUGCUCGCAAAAAAAGGGCAGCAGGUGUAGAGAUCUUCUUGCUUUAGGAAACUUAAGACUGCUUCCUAUUUUGAUGUUGAUUCUCUCUUUAAUAGGAAAUUAGAUCCUUCUAGGAAAGGGAAAUAAAUUUCUCUCAAAGCCUAUUUAACUCCACCUUAAGUGGGUUAUUAAAUCAACUUUGGAAAGCAAUUUAUUCUACCCUACAAGAGAGAGAUAGCUUAGAGGAUAUUUGUUCCCCCUCCUCUAGCAAUCUUCUACAUCUUGCCCGUGCAAAGGACCGUCUUUCGUUGCUUUCUUCGUCUUCUUCGUGCCGCACCGAUGUAAGAAAAAUUUAAUUUUUCUUGCCUUAUUCUUGGAUAGUGCUAUUGCGGGGCAGUCGUCGGGGUGGUGCGGCACAUCGGCUGGCAGGGGCCAGGAGUUGGCUCGGCAUGGGCCGAGGAGAUGUUGUGGCAGGGACCACUGCUUGGGCAGCUUGGCUUGGCUUGAGCCAAAAGGCAGCUUGUGCAACUAGGGUCGCGGAUUGUGGCGCUGGGGCGCAGUGCUAGGCGAGCCGCAUGGCUCAUGUCCUUUGGGCUCUUGGACCUGACUCGGGCCAGGCUGGUGAUUGAGAGAAAUAAAGAGAUUGCGGGUCUCAUGGGCUGCUGGAAUGUUGGGCAUGCAGGCCUCCUGCCUGUUGGAAUGCUGGGUUGAGCUCCCCUACUGAGUACCAUGAAUGUAGUUGGCUGCUUAGUCCUCUUUGCCGAAAGAAAGGUGGGUUGCUCCAGAAAGAGGAGGUAAAGAGGAUCAAGGCGGAUGCAUUGGCUCGUCUGAUCGCUGUCGUGGAGCUUACUAUGAAUGAAGAUGGAAAGAAGAGAUCUUCCCCGCCUGCUCAUGAGAUGCCAGUUAAGAAAAAACUGAAGACUUCUUCUGCUGCUCAUGAGGGUCCGCUUGCUACCGAGAGGUAUGUGAUUGACAUGAUUUUCCAAUGGGAAGAAAUGUAAGGCUGCUAGAUCUGAGCAUGUGGCGUCUUCCAUGUUGAGAAUGGCUAGUACAAUUGUGGAUAAGAUUACUCAGCGUAAAGGUUUUAUCAUGCCCCCAGUGCCGAAGUCUGUACCAGGACGUUCUUUGGGAGCCAAGUCUGGUUCACCUUUGUAGAGACUUGCUAUUAUGAAGAGUGGUAAGGUGGACUCUGCUGCUAAAGUGGCGCCAAAAGCCUGCUCCCUUUGCUGCUGAGAUUGAUUCGCCUCAGAUUCAAGAUCUUAAGCUUGCAAUUUCUGAGCUUCGUUUCGCUACUUAUGCUAAGAAGAGAGUGGAUGAGCUUCUCUAUUUCUCCGGAAGACUUGCUUGCUUUUACUUUUAAGGCUUCCAUUGGUGAAGUAGUUGGAGAAGUUAGUGCCCAGACUGGGGCAGCCGGGGGUGAAGCGCCGGAUGAUGCCGCUGCUAAGAGCGUUACGGCUGUUGAAGGUGUGGCGACCGAGUAGUCGUGGAAUGUCCAAGCUGCUGUAGUGUAGUAUUUUAGGUAGCCUUUAGGAUUUUCUUUGUUUUUCCUUGUAGCUUUUGUUCUGCUUGAACUCCUUCAACCUUUGCUAGUUGUUUAUAAACAUGUUUUCCUUCGUUUUUCUUCAUCUUCACUUCUUUUGUUCAUGCCCUAACCUUUAGACUUGAUAGACCAGUGGCAGGCAUGCUACUUUUUUAUAAGCAGACAAACUCGCGUAGCCUAUGCAGCCGUAGAUGUUGGUGUAGAACUUUGCAAAGUUGUUAGCCAUAGGGUUGGCAGCCGGAUGCCUUACUUACAGAAGCAGAGCAAGUAUCACAUUACGCGUAACCACUAGGCUGUUAACUUUGACUUUCUUCAAUUCCAUAGGUUGCGUAGCAAGUAUCACAACACUUUAGGACUUGGUGUAGGUUGUUCCGCGCUUGGCAGAGGUGAAGCUUAUCGACUACGUAGCAUGUCGGCAGUGGAUAAAACUUCGUAUAUGCGCGCUAGCUUGUCUAACCUUUCACAAGAAUGUGCGGUUGUAUAAGUCUAGUGCGGCUUUACUGCUCGAAGGGCAAGCCGUAGGCAAUCUUCCGGAAUCCGUAGGUUACCUUAGUGCACUCGGUAGCAGCUUUAGGAUUCCAGGGCAGCCGUCCAUCGGAUGUACUGCGUAAUGUGCCCUCUCCGUCUCUAGGGCCCGGUUCCCCACGGAUUAGGCCAAGAGACCCAAAAUCCUUCAGUUAGCUAAACCUUGAAAAAGACCAUUGCGGCUACUUCUAGGAAUCCCGGCGCAAGCCAUCGUGCAUCUAGUUAUACUAGGGCAGCCAGGCUCAUCCACGUCUGGAUAUUCGGAGUGUAAAGUUUAUCCUCCCGUCUUGGAGAGCUGACCCAUAUGGGUGUUGGAGAAUUGGUUUACCCUCUCGCACUGGAGAGCAUGGUUGGUCCCUCGGGGGGCGCAAUUCCUGCGAUAAGUCCCUAAGAAGGGUGCAGUCUUCUUUUGAAGUGCAAGAGUGAUUAGUUGUUGUAAGCAUGCAGCCAAGCCAAGUUGUGAUUACUUCUAAAUUCCUCAUUGAAAAACGAGUGAAACGAACGAGAACUUUAGCUGUAAAGUAGGAACUGCAUAACAACUGGAUAGUCCUCAGCUUGUGAGGUGGUGCCCGUCGAGCUUAUUGAGUCUUCGGGUUUUGAUGUAGCGGGAGGUCACACAUGGUACUUCUUCAGAUUGUAGGCCAUCCAUUUUUUUUUCAAUCUUUUUGCCGCUUCAUGGUGGUGAGGGUGUAAUUACUCUUGCCCCCUACUCUGCUGAUCUUGUACGGACCUUCCUAGAUGGGAUCCAUCUUUUUGGAGCCUUCUCUGCCGGCAGUGAUGAAGGCUUUUCUGCGCCGUCGACAUGCAAAUGCCAGAAGUCUCCAUCGGGUGGAGUAGGCGCAGCUAGAGUGUGCUCGGCUACUUCUGAGGCAUCGUUGGGCCGCUCUGUUGCGUCACCUAGGCUCGGCGUGAAGGCGCAGUAGGGAGCUAUGGAGAUGGGGCCAUGUCAUACGCAACAGGAGAUGCUCAACUGCGGGUAUUGGGCCACUCUAGAGUUGAAUCAUUGAGCAAAGGUCGGCUAGGGCCGUGUGAUGCGCAACAAGAAAUGGUACUCAACUGCCGUUACAUGUUGCUCCUAUGUAGAAUCCUUCAGGGUGACGAGGACAAAACUUGCUUUCAAGUGUAUCUUUCCAGUGUUACGUUCGUCAGAAAACUUUACAUCCGCCAGGGUCUACGCCUUUAUCGUCGCGCGUCUGGAUUGGGCAGAAUAGUACGUCAUUAAGAUGAUUGCAUGCGUUUGAAAGUAAGAUUUGUGUUUCUAGGUUGCAACAACUAUCGCCAAAGUUAACUUUUGAAUUUUUAAUAACAUCGAUGAGAGCUUUUGAACUGUAGAAUACAGGUAACUGUGGAAUACAGGUAGUCGGGCCCCCAUCUCUUCUCGCAUGAUGGUAGAGCUUAUUGCUACUUUAGAUAACGUCAAACAUGUGAAUAAGUCCUCCGCUGCUUCUAGGGAGGUGAUGUCGGGUACUUCUUCAAGUUCUUGAAUGUGCAUUGGCGAGCCUCAUCCCAAAGUGCAUACUUCUCUGCCAAAGCAAAAGAGUCUGCCAGAGUUAGAUCUUCUUUCAUGAUCAAUUUUCCGAAUAGCGGGUGGUCUGCUGGAAGUCCUUUUUGGAAGGCUGCUCUAGCUAUCGAGUCGUUGCAUCCGACUAUUUUUGCCUUCUCUACUUUGAACCUCCUCACAUAGUCGCGAAGCGACUCCUUUGGGUUCUUCUUGACGUUGAACAAAUGAUCAGACUUCUUUUUUAUUGAGCGAUAGGAUGAAUAUUCUUUGGUGAAAACCAAAGAAAGUUCGUAGAAAUCCCAGAUGGAUUGUGGCGGCAGGGUGUAGAACCAAUCUUGCGCCUCGCCUUGUAGAGUAGUGGCGAAUAUCUUGCACAUGAGCUCAUCGUUGUUUCGAUAAAGGAUCAUUGCGCUUCGGUAGCGCUUUAAGUGUCUCUCCGGGUCUUCAUCCCCUUUGAAAGAUGUGAAAUGUGGCAUGCUGAACUCUCGUGGAGGCUCUGCCUGCUCGAUCUCGUCCGUGAAGGGUGACCUGCUUAUGUUGGUCAUGUUCCGUCGUAGUGCCUCGUUGGUGACCUCGUUGCGUUGGAAAUCAUGCAAUCGCUUGGUCAAGAGUCUCUCUACUUCUUCCUGAAUUUGCCUUUGUUGGGGGUAGUGCAGCUCUCGGCUGCCCCCAGCCAUGACUUGCUGGUCUAGGCUGCUCUUCCAUGUGUUUUGGCUCGUCUAUGCCGCAGAUGCAGUGCAUAUGGUGCAUUCCUAGCAGGCGAGCGAGUUCUUCGCAGGCUGCUGGUUAAACUUGAGCUGGAUUGAGUGACUGCUUCUCUCCGUCCGUCGUGCUGCCUACUCUGAUGUGAGGUGGAUGAUGCUCCUUGUGGGCUUAGCCGCGAAUGAACAUUUUGUCUGGAAGGUUGCUCAUGUUGACUAUCGGAGUGUGACCCCAACCGUGAAUGUAUGCUCAUCCGUGGGCCUAGUCGAGAGUACACGCUCCUCCGCGCGCUAAGACGAGAGUAUACGCUAUCUCGGGGGCCCAAUCGGGAAUGUACACUGCCUGAACGUUCAGCUCGUGGCUGGUCGAAUGGCUGCUUGCUGGGAUGCUGCUGGAAAGGUUCGUCUGCCAUUGUCCUACUUCGGGAUACCUCAUCCGGGGCACGUUGGAUCCCGAUGCGUUGCAAAAGUUGAUUCACCAAAGUUGUCUGUUGUGCAAGAGUGCUCGUCAACUCUAUGACUUGUCGAGACAAGUGUUGUUCGCCAUUUGGAUUGGAAGAGCUUGGAAGGAAUGCGCCUCCUUGAGCAGUGGAAGGGUGGUAGACUCCGGGCGCGAGAUUUGAGUUGGGAAAUGUCAAAUCAGCGAAAAAAUGUGGUGAGAAUGCCCCCGGCUCAAUGGUAGGUCCAGAUGGUUGAGAUAGUUUUGGGCCGACUUGGGCUGCUUGGAAAGCCACGGGAGCAGUGUGGGCCUUAAGAGUGGGCUGCUCGUCGGGAGUGGGCUGCUCGUUGGGAGCAGGCUGGGUCACGAGAGCAGGCUGCUUGGCAGGAGCAGGUUGCUUGGCGGGAGCAGGCUGGGCCACGGAAGCAGGCUGCUUGGCAGGAGCAGGUUGCUUGGCGGGAGCAGGCUGGGCCACGGAAGUAGGCUGCUUGGCAGGAGCAGGCUGGGCCACGGGAGUGGGCUGCUUGGCAGGAGCAGGCUGGGCCACGGGAGUGGGUUGCUCGACGGGAGCAGGCUGCUCAAUGCGCGGUGCAUGUGAAUGCGAGGCUUGGGCUUGGGUCCACGUGAACUUGGAUGGCACGGCUUGGAUCGUGGUCUUGGUACCGUGAGCCUUGGAUGGCACGGCUCGGGCCGUGGUGAAGGCUCCAUGGACCUCGCCACGAGUGGCUACCGAAGUAGCCAUCGUGGUGGUUCCCAUGGUGGCCGUGGUGAAGGCAUCAUGGACCUGUAGCCACCACGGUGGUUCCCAUGGUGGCCGUGGUGAAGGCAUCAUGUGGAAGCUCGUGGUGAUGAUGCCGCUCCCCUUAUUGUCGCAUUUUGCCUUACGGAUCUCCGGGUCGUGGUGAAGGCUCCAUGGACCUCGCCACGAGUGGCUACCGAAGUAGCCACCGCGGUGGUUCCCAUGGUGGCCGUGGUGAAGGCACCAUGGACCUCGCCGCGGGUAGCUACCGAAGUAGCCACCACGGUGGUUCCCAUGGUGGAAGCUCGUGAUGAUGAUGCCGCUCCCCUUAUUGUCGCAUUUAGCCUCACGGAUCUCCGCAAUCCCAUUUCUUGAACAUUAGAAUUUUCACUUGUGGAAUUUUCUAAAUUUCUAGCCAUUAUAUUUUGCUUAUACGUUUUAUCAAAGAACCUUUGCAAGUAAAAAAUUCUAAUAAUAAGAACGUAUGAAAAAUAUUCAAAUGGACUAGAAAAUAAAGAAAAAACCUUUUUUGUGCAAGAGUCUUCUACGAGUAUGGAUUUCAACUCUCAAUGAAAGCACCAAUUUGUGGAUGCAAAUUUCUUCCUCCUCGAUCUUGGACGAUUUUGCACCUACAAAACAAUUAACACCUUAGGUUAAGACCAAGAGCCUCACGCGCCCACGAUGAAUGGGGGGGGCUUUGGCCGAAGAACCUCCGAUGCCAAAGUUAGAAUUUAGAGAGAAAGAGUGUUUAGAGAAUUUUGGGAUUUUUGCCAAAGUGUUGGAAUUAGCUUUUUGGUGAGAAUGGGAGUAUAUUUAUAGGGAUAGGAGGUGGCUAGGGUUUUUUAGGUUUAAUUAGCCAAUUUAUUUGGCUAUUAAAACAUAAAAUGAAUGUUUUGGUGGUUUUUUUGUAUAAUUGGCUAAUAAAAAGGAAGAAAUGGUGGGAAAAGGUAGAAAAAAGGUAAUGGAUUAGGUUUUUCAAUGGGAUAGCCAGCCCUCUUGUGUUUUUAGGUUUGAGUGGAUGUUUCAAAUUGACAAUUAAGGGAUUGAUUAGGUAAUUAAUCCCUUAAUUAGUCAAUUAUUAUGAUUUUAUGAAAUAUGAAAGGAAUAAGUAUAUUAUUUAGCUAAUUGAUUAGCUAAAUAAUGAAAUGGGAAAUAUAUGAAUAAAUUAGGUUUUAAGUUUAUACCUAUUUUGGGCACUUUUGACUUGGUUGAAAAAAUGAUUCUCUACUGCUCGCGUGUAGGAAACCCGGUAUGCCUCGAGGGUAUUUUUGUCCUCUUUUGUCCAAAAGUCCACGUGUCGCCUAGUGAAUAUUUUUGGCUCCACAAAUGCCCCCACACCUGUUGGGCUGCUCGCAAAAAAGGGCAGCAGGUGUAGAGAUCUUCUUGCUUUAGGAAACUUAAGACUGCUUCCUAUUUUGAUGUUGAUUCUCUCUUUAAUAGGAAAUUAGAUCCUUCUAGGAAAGGGAAAUAAAUUUCUCUCAAAGCCUAUUUAACUCCACCUUAAGUGAGUUAUUAAAUCAACUUUGGAGAGCAAUUUAUUCUACCCUACAAGAGAGAGAUAGCUUAGGAGGUGGAGGCUCUUGAUAGAAGAUUGGCAUUGGAGUCGUUUUCAAAGUUAGUUUCUUCAUGAACAUCCUAAUGUCAGCUUCUAGAGUUUCCUGUAAAAGAACAGACAACAUUCAUAAUAAGAAAAUCCCUCUCUGCAAUCGCAGAAAUCCCUCGGGUUUAAGGAAGCAAAUAGAAAACGAAAUGCUUUCCUCCCAUCUCUCUCUCUCUCUCACCUCUGUCCCAUCUCCUGUCUGCAAAUCGCAGAAAAGAAACCCUAAACAAAUCCCUGAAAUCCCUCGCCUAAAUCCUCCCACAUUUCUCUCGGACACCCCCCUCUUUCUCUCUGCAAACCCUAAACCAAAUCUCCUAAAUCCUAUCUUUGACACCCCACAUACAGCCAAGAAGCCAAGAUAUUAAAGCAAUAUCUACAUAAUACUUUGGAACAAUGAAGUAAAAUGGUACUUACUUGUUCCUUGUCCAAAACCGUUGGUGCCACCGCACUUUGUUAUCAAUUGUGGGUUGAUCAAAUCCUUCAUGGCUUAGACUGCAUGAAGAAUUAGAAACUAAAAGAUGAAUAUAUGCCGUAAAUCAUCAUAUAAAUGUAACUGCAUUUAAAAAAAGAAGGGAAUGGAAAAAUUGAAUUCUAUUUCAUCAGUAUGUAACUGCAUGAAAAGUUACUUUGAAUGCAGACUCGAUCAAUUUCCCCAAAGUCAUUGUUAACUGAAAAUCAAUACCAAACCCAUAAAUACCACAUUGAAUUUGGCAAAACCCAAAAACAAAAUUGCAAAAAUUUACUCAUAAUCACGGAAAAACAUGAAACUUAAGCACCCAUUUGGCCAAGUUAAAGGAUAAAGGCACUCACAUCAUCGUAUUACUCUUUGGGAAGAUCUUCUAUUAUUGGUUCUUCCUUUUUCUUGCUCUUCCUCAGAACUGCCAUAAAAACCCCAGAGAAGCACACGAAUUCAGAAAAGAAAAUGUCCAAAACUGCCAUAAAAAAAAUCCAGAAAGCAUACAAAUUUAUCAGAAAGAAAAGUUCAAAUUACAAAAACCAAAUGAUGUGAGUGAGUAGUGAGAGGUUGUGUUAGGCACCUGAAACACGUUUUGGUUUCAAUUGAAAAGGCCAGAGCCAUGCAUGCGAGGAAGAUGACGACAGGAUUCCAGAGACAACAUCCACAUUCUUUUUUCAUGGGUGAACUAACCACAUCAUAUUAUAUACUAAAACGACAUAAAAAAUCAUUCACAAACUCACAACAAAAUAGAACAAAAAGAUUCACAAAAGAUUUGGGAGUUGGGACGCUAACAAAAACAUUUAUUUUCUAAACAAAUACACAACCGCUAAUCUGGGUUUGGUCAGUUUGACUAAAACGGUGCGCUAUUUUGCAUCUAAAUAUAGUAUAUCGCUUAAAUAAAAUUAAAAAAAUAUACACAUCCAAUGCUUUUAGUCUAAAGCUAGAAUUAGGAAUAACUGAGUAAGUUAAUGAAGGCAAAGCAGAGGGUAGGAAGCAGAACAUACCAAGAGACCACUAGGCCAUCGGGGCCGGUCUGCCGAUAAAUGCCGUGUACUGGUCGACAACGCCCAACGGAGUCGGCGCAGCAAAGAAGUAAAAGUCGAAACCACCCCCAAUGACCUUGUAGGUGAGAGAAUUCCCUCUGUAGAACACAUCCAUGCCAUUGUUGUUGAGCAGCAGAACGGAGUGCGCGUAAGCCUCGUUGCCCACAUUCCAGAGAUCCAUGUAAACUGGGUGGGACCCAUACAAAUCAGUGUUGAGAUUGAUCGCCGAGACGUCAGUGGUGAAGAGGAUGUAUGGAUCGUUCGGGUAGAGCUUGAUCCCGUGCGGCUGAGAGUUCUCUCCGAGGCCGUACAGGGAGGAGUCUUUCGGCAGUCGGGUGGAUAUCUCGAGGUACUGGUCCUUAAACACCAGUACUAGUCCAAUAAAACGCUCUGCUUUAUUGAUUUUCAAUUCAUGUUCAUUCGGGUCCCAAACAAGACUGAACGGCCCCGGAGCCGGGUUGUAGGUAUCUACAUAUGAUACAAGUGCCCAGAUGUGGCCAUCACUGCGGUUGACACCUAACUUCAUACCCGGUAAAAAUGUGUCUCCAGGAUAAUCACUUCGGCAGAUCGAGGGUGAUUUGAGAUGUUUUCCAGCUAAAUUGGACUUCGACCCAAGUAUGAAAGUUGUUUCUCUUAUCGAGAUCUUCAUUCAUGUAAAAUUUGGGAAUUUUAGAAUUGUUGAAUUCUUCGGCGAGUCAGGCCUGCCGACCACCUCGUGCUUCGGCGCAUGGCCCUUUGGCCGCCGUCCUGUGGCGGCUCGUGCGGCGAUGUAUGCAGGAAAACCUGAGGUUCCUCCUUAGGUUUUUCGACGUACCAAACCCGAAUCCGCCGUCCUUUUUCCAAAAUUCUAACAUUUUCAUAGAGUUUUAUUAAACGACCUUUAAUUGUGUUUAGGUGCAUUGGUGGAAUUGACCUCAUGCUUGUUGGUUCGAGCAGCUUUCGGGCAAUGGAAAACUUGUGAGUGGACCCCUUCUAAACUUAUAUAUUGUUAUAAAAUAUUAGCCUAGCAUGCAUUCCAUAUUUCAUGAUUUGAAUAUGAUUUAUAAUAUGCUUUAUGGACUUUUAUAAUUAUGGUUUACGAAAUAGUUUGAUUUAUCGAAAUUAUGUUUUAUUAGGUAUUGAAUUAUUGGAUUUGCAUAUAUGGAUUUCUAUGGUUUUCGAAUACGAUUUAUAUUACGGUUUUACGAACAUGAAUUAUUUUAUGGAUUUCAUUAAUACAAUUUAUCUUGGAUUUAUGAGAUGAGACUUUGAGCUAGUGAGCUCCGGGUUUGAUAUGAGUUUUGAGAUAUGUUUUUGGUACUUAUCUAGUGGGUUAUCAUACGGCACAUCCGCACACCACGGGUAUAGAUGUGUAUGGCCAUAGGUCACAGAUGAUGAGGAGGAGUAAGAGAUAUAUUAUAUACCCCCAGUUCACUGUCAAAAGCAGUGUCAGAUAACUUCACUAGCCAUGGCUAGUCGGUAUGGAUGUUAUGCUAUUUCAUACAGCUUCACCUUCGGGUGAUAGACAAGUUAUUUAGCUUCACCUUCGGGUGAUGGACAAGUACUACCUUCGGGCAACUAUGAUAGCCUUAGUUUCACUGACAAGAUUUACAGAUUUGCCUUCGGGCGACAACAUUUUCAUUAUCAAAUAUUGGAUUUUACAUAUCUACCUUCUAAAUGGAUUUUCAUGGCAUGCUAGGGUUUUUCAUAAAAUUUAUAUGUAGUAUUAUAUAUGUUUUCAAAACAAGGGGUUAUUAUGUUCAUAAAUAAAAUGUUUUCCUAUUAUUAGUAUUAUUAAUAUAAACUUUGGUCCACUCACAUUUUCAAUUUUUGCGCCUCCUCAGGAGUUAGGAUCGAGGCACAUGAUCCUGGCAUCAUGGCGUGUUGAUAUAGGUAUCCUUGAAUCUUCUCAUUGUAGGUAUCAUUCCCUUAUUCAUAUCUUUUUAUAGUGAUUCUUCCCUAUUAUUUCUAAUUAGUUGUAUGCUCUGAACACAUUCCCUCCAUGGACUCUGGAGGCAUGUAACCACUGCACCAAAUGGAAAAAGAAAAAAUAGUAAGUAUACUUAUCUGCAAAAAUGCGUGUUUAGCAAUCAAAAGGGGAAGACCAUGUCAAUGUGAUGCCGAAAUACUUACCGUGUCCCGACAAUCUUGCUAGUGUUUGCUUCCAAUUCAUUUUGGGUGCAAAUCCUUGCCAGACCAAAAUCUGAAAUUUUUGGGUUCAUGUUUUCAUCAAGUAGUAUGUGUUCGUGGCAGGAAUUUCCGCCGGGGAUGCUUUCCUGGCCAACGAGCACACAGCUCCCCUGGGAGGUCGGCGCCGGUUGAGGCUGCUGUCAGGCUUCUACUUCGCGGUCGGGCUUUCUCGGGCAAGACUUGUCGGGCAAGUCUCGUCGGGCAAGACUCUUCGGGUAAGGCUCUUCGGGCAAGGCUGAAAGAGAAGGACAACAUUAACUUUGAGAGGUGCCUUUGUGGGGCCUUAGGUGUAGGCCUUGAGGCUCACAAUCAAGGUUAACAUUUAAGUGCUCAGGCGUGCCACUGCCAUCUUUAGCAUGGCAGAUGUAGAAUGGUUGUCGUGCUUUAGUUGUAUAUAUGUAUGUAUCCAAGAAACCGUGUUAGUUAUAACAAGUGCCUUUGUGGGGCCUUAGGUUUAGGCCUUGAGGCUUCCCAUAAAUAACUAAACCAGUGCUCGAACACAUCAUAUUUAUUCUUGCGAUUGUAGGAGUUUUCUAACUAUUAUACUUCUGAUUACCCGAAUCCAAGAAGUAGAAUGAACCCAAAUAGGUGCCUUUGUGGGGCCUUAGGUGUAGGCCUUGAGGCUUCCCAUCAGAGUUCAUUCUUAUACUUAGACUCUUUAGAUCGCAGAACGGAAUGAAUCCAAAUGGAUGCCUUUGUGGGGCCUUAGGUGUAGGCCUUGAGGCUUUCCAUCAGAAUCCAUUCCAUGCUCAAGCGUUCUAUGGAAAUCAUGAUAUAAUAGAAACAAAACCAAGAGGUAGGUCGAUUACUUGCGCCCCAAGUAACUUCGGACUUCUCGUUUAUCAAGGAUUGUCGUGGAUGGGUUGAGUCCACAUAAAGUUCUUUUUUAUGCCUUGAGGCCAAGGACUUUUAAACUAAUCAUUUUUUACAUGCCCGAAGGCUUAGGACUUGGAUCUGAUUUAAAUACUGAAGAUAUAUUCAAAUCGGAUCCAAGUACUGAGAAAACUUUGUCAUCGUGAUUUUGCUAGAAACAACUUGCAUAUAACUGGAAGUAUACAACAUAUUGCUAGAUUUUAAAGAAAGACAAGACAAAGACAGAGCAAAGCAGGUCGGGCAAGAUUAAACCUUAUCAAUUAAGGCUGAUCGUCUUGCAGGUCCCUAUCUUUGUAGUUUUGUCAAAGGUCUGAAAGCUUAGAGGGGGAGAGGGGGAAAGGAGAAUAUAAAAGGUGAAUCAAUACUACAACAAGUUCGAACAAGGUAGCAGAGCUAUUACAGAGGUUGGGAGAAAAGAUUAUCCCGCGGGGGAUGAAGGCUUGUCCCGAAUGGGAUGAAGGCUUGGGCUGACUACAGCUUCGUUUUGAAAGGCAAAUCUGGCUUUUUUAGCAGAGUUUGUGCUUUUGUUUGUUUGAUUGAGUGUCUUUAUUCCUGUCUUCUCUUCCUCCUUUUAUAGACGACUCGGUUUGGCUCCUGUAGCGACAGCUUUGCCUGAAUGCGGUCUGAGGGUGAUGACUCAUCAGCUUUAUUACAUGUAAUGCCACCAUAAAGUACUUUAUGGGCUGUGCAGUCUGAUCAGUCUACACCACUUGGUCCUUGGGUAGGUAGGCAAGUGGCCCUUAUGAAUUGUAUCAAGUCAGAAAAAGCCCUUUCCUGUUUUCCUAAGUUUCGGCCGGGCCUUGAUCUUCUAUUCCUCCAGGCCUCCUUUUGGGCCGACUCCAUCCUUGGGCCAAAAAUCAAGUUUUAAUCCAAACAGUGCCCCCUUCAAUUAAUGUGAAGGUUGGAAUCCCAGGCGUCGACAUUGAUUGAAUACCCGCAUGCAUGCAUAUCCGUCCUUGGGAAUUUAUGCUUCCGGUGCCCUUUGCUCUUCUCACGACCCUUGAACUGUCCUUUGGGCCCUAUAAAAUCUAGCUCGGGACUUCUCCUAUCAAACUACCAAAUCCCCUUUAGCUCUGGCCUUCAACUUCCAUCCAUCUUGAGCGUUCUUGUCUCCUCUUAGAAACUGAGAAAUGGGUUCCUCAGGUUUUGAGUGGAGUUUCCUAAAACUCCCCUUUCGCGAGAAAAUGAGGUUUCACCUGAUGACUGCUAUCUCCAACACCCUUGGUCAACCACCCCUCUAUCUCCAACACCCUUGGUUAGGCGGCUUCCUCUUGAUGGUUUGUCUUCCCGCAAGCUGCGGCGAUAAGUCGGGCUUCACCAUCACAUAUGGUGACAGCCCCGUCGGAGGAUCCUCUACCAAGCGCAUGUUGGCCGCACAACCCGAUCACCCGAUUGGGUUCCAUCCCUGAAGACAUCGGGAAACCAGCUGAAGACACCACCAUAUUCAGAGAGAAUCAAAUGUAAUACAUAGGAUUGAAAUUCUGUAAAUUUCAUCAAUUUGUCGACAUGAAAUAAAUACUAUUUUAGCAAUUUCUGUCUUUCUGCCUUCUUUGAAUGUUUGAUGAACAAAAACACUGCAUAUGAGACUCCCGAAGCCUGUUUCACUCUGCCCCCUCUUCAAUGUAACAAUCCCUAACAUCCCAUAAUGUAGGACAAUAUUUUUUUAAGAAUCUAACAUUAAUGGGAUGUUUCUGCCCAUUUCCUUCGAGGUCCGCUAGGUAGUAUCCUCCUUUAUUCAAAACUCGACUAAUAAUGAAAGGACCUUCCCAUGUCGGGCUCCACUUUCCAAAACCCCGAAGCUGAGCUCCCAGCGGGAGGACUGUUUUCCAUACUACAUCUCCCUCUUUGAAAGACUUUACCUUCACCUUCUUGUUAUAAGCUCGGGCAACAGCUAUCUUUCCUUCUUGAUCUGGUUCAAGGCUUCAAUUCGGGCUGCAUCCAGGUCUUCAAUACCUUGACACAUGGCUUCGAUAUAUUCUGCACUAUGUAACCCAAAUUGGUUUUGAAUUCUUACGGAACUAACGUUGAUCUCCAUGGGGAGCACUGCAUCUUGCCCGAACGUCAAGGCAUAAGGAGUUGUGCCUGUUCCCGCUCUUUUGGAAGUCCUGUAUGCCUACAACGUAUUCCCCAGCAUCUCGUCCCAUUUUUCUGGACUAUCUAUCACCAUUCUUUUAAUAAUGUUGACCAGGAUCUUGUUGCUAGCUUCGGCCUGCCCAUUUGACUGAAGGUAGUACGGACUGGAUUGGAUCAUCUUUAUCUUGUACUUGCUUGCAAACUCCUCGACUUCUUUUGAAAUAAAAGAUGGCCCAUGGUCUGUUACUAUAGUCUCGGGCACCCCAUAUCUGUGCAGGAUCUUGGUCUCGAUAAAAUUCUUGACUACGGCGGAAGUUAUGGAUUUUACUGCUGAUGCUUCCACCCACUUGGUGAAGUAAUCCGUUGCUACAAUUAUAAAAGUAUGCCCUUUACUAGAAGCUGGAUAAAUUUGCCUGAUGAAGUCCAUCGCCCAUCCUCGGAACGGCCAAGGCUUGACCACUGGAUUCAAAGGCACUGAAGGCACGUGUUGGAGAGGUCCAUGCCUCUGACAUUCUUCACAACCGCGGGCAUAAGACUUGUAAUCCUUUUCCAUAUCGGGCCAGAAAUAACCGUACCUUCUGAGUAGCCAUCUCAUCUUUGUCCCUGCUUAAUGUGCUCCACAUAUUCCCUCAUGUACUUCGGCCAUCACUCUCAUGGAUUCUUCUUGGCCUAAGCAUUUUAGUAGUAAUCCAUCUGGGGUUUUUCUUAGCAGGUUCUUCGCCCAUAAGACAUAUUUGGUUGCUUGCUGCCUAUUCUUCUUACUUGUAGGUGAAGAGGGAUCCUUCAAAUGAUGAAUGAUGGGUGCCCUCCAAUCUUCCAUCUUGGUUUCUAGAACCAUUACAUCCAAACUAAAUCCCCUGUCUAAGAUGGAAGGAAGGUUUCUUGUUUGGAUCUCGACAUCUAUUCCAUACUUUCUUUCCUGUAUUGGCACUCCUGAGGCUAGUUGCGCCAUUUCAUUGGCUGCUAAGUUAGACCCCCUAGGAAUAUGAUUAACUGAUAUCUCAGACUCACAGAAACUCAACAAUUGUGUUGCUGCCAUAUAGUACCCCGCCAUAGUGAUAUGUCUGCACUUGAACUUGCCAUUUAGCUGGUUUAUUACCAACUCUGAAUCACCAAAGACUUCUACUUCUGCUGCCCCCAAAUCCAACAGGAUUUCUAGACCAAUAAUCAAGGCCUCAUACUCUGCCCGAUUAUUAGUAUUUUCUUGGUAAUCGAGCAGGAAUGAGUAAUAAUGAUAAACCCCUUGAGGAUUUAUAAUCACAAUCCCAGCCCAUGCAGCCUUCUGAGUGUGGGAUCCAUCGAAAUACAACUUCCAAUGAGUAAUCCAGAGGCCCGUUACUCUUCUUAUCUCUUGCUGGAUCCAAUCUUCUUUGCCCGAAACAUCACUUCUUGGUGGGAUCCAAACGCUAGUAACCUCCAAACUUCCCGGGAUAUUGAUUACCUCACUUUGAGGUUCCUGAUGUUCGGUCAGCAAGUCAGCAAUUGCCUGGCCUUUGACUGCCCUUUGGGGUACAUAUUGAAAACUGAAUUUUGAUAGUGCUAGAAUCCACUUCCCAAUUCUUCCUGCUAGCAUAGGCUUUGACAACAUAUACUUUAUCACAUCUAUUUUGGCGAUGAUGUGCACGUGACAAGGUAACAUAUAAUGCCUUAGCUUGUUGGCAGUAAAAUAUAGAGCCAAACACAAUCUCUCCACCGGAAAAUAUCUUGUUUCUACCUCGGUCAAAAUUCUGCUGAGGUAGUAUACGGCCUGCUCAUUUCCACCUUCAUUAUUUUGGGCUAGCAAACUCCCAAUUGAUUUUUCCGAAGCAGAAAUAUACAGCUUCAAUGGCUUUCCCCUUUGAGGUGGUACCAACACUGGUGGAGAAGUUAGGUAGGCCUUGAUGCUGUCAAAUGCCUGCUGGUGGGUCGGCCCCCACUCGAAAUUCUCUUUAUCUUUCAAUCUUAGUAGAGGAGUUAGCGGUUGGAUUUUGCCCGCUAAAUUGGCAAUGAAUCUCCUCAAGAAGUUGAUUUUGCCUAGUAGCCUUUGAAGCUGUACUUUGUUGGUGGGUGGAGGUGACUCCAAUAUUGCCCGAGACUUGUUCUUGUCCACUUCCACACCUCUCUGAUGCACCAAGAAUCCCAAGAAGUGGCCCGCUCUUACUCCAAAUACGCACUUCUUUGGAUUCAUCUUCAAUUUGUGGAUCCGCAUCCUUAUCAAUGCUUGCCUGAGAUCUACUAGAUGCUGCUCUUCUGUUUUAGAUUUCACCACGAUGUCGUCGAUAUAUACCUCUAUGCUCUGGCCAAUUAGAUCAUGAAAAAUGGCAUUCAUUGCCCUUUGAUAUGUUGCGCCAGCAUUCUUGAGCCCGAAGGGCAUGACCAGAUACUCAUAUGCCCUCACAUGACCAGGACACCUAAAAGCUGUUUUAUGAAUAUCAUCUGGAGCCAUCUUUAUCUAAUUAUAUCUGGCAUUUCCAUCCAUAAAAGAUAAAACUUUAUGCUUUGCUACUGCAUCUAUGGAUAAAUUAGCCAUGGGCAUGGGAUAUUCAUCUUUUGGCGUAGCACUAUUAAUGUUUCUAUAGUCAACACAACAUCGUACUGCUUUUGUUAUAGCUUUUAAAACGGGUACAAUGUUGGCUAGCCAUUCCACGUAUUUGGCCGGUCUGAUAAAGCCAGCUUUUACCAGCCUUUCGAUCUCUUCUUUGACCUUUUCUUCUAUCUCCUUCGACAUCCUCCGUGGUGCUUGCUUAACAGGCUUAUAUCCUUCCUUGAUGGGCAUUCUAUGUUCCACCAAGGCUGGAUCUAACCCUGGCAUCUCGGCAUAAUGCCAAGCAAAACAAUCUUUGAAUUCUUGCAAAAGACAAAUGAUCAUUGCCCGAUCAACAAUUCCCAAUAAACCACUGAUUUGUAUUGGUCUUGGAUCCUCCUCCGUGCCUAGAUCAAUAACUUCCAAAGGAUCCUGAACUUCUGGUGAUGGCUUAUCAGGUUCUGCACAUAAAAAUUCGACCAACUCUGGCUCUCGGGCAAGUUGUCUGGCUCGUCUAGAUCAUAUAUGCAUUCAGCCAUUUGAAUGGCCCUAUCCAAUUCCUCUUUGCAAGAUUCCUCUCAAUUUCCAUGCUGGCUGGUUGAAGCUUCUUCCUGCCAUUCUUGCUAUUCCUGCUCCCUUUCUUGUCUUCUUCCCUUCCCAUAUACCAGCAGUCUUUUAAUCAGGGAUCUAACUGCCAUGACCUGAUCUUUCUUCUUUUGUUCAGUCAUUGAUGGUGUAGGGAAUUUGGUAUGAGACAAGGUUUAUCCCACUCCUCCUUAGUAAGGAGCAUUCCUUGUUCCAAAAGCUUUUGGGCCGUCACCUUGGUAGGGCGGCCGUUCUUAUCAGCUCCUGAACAUUUCAAGAUUCCUACGUUGGGAUUGUAGAAACUUGCUUCCGCAACAUUGGCUGAGGGGAGGAACGGCCGUGAUUCGGCCUCUACUAUUUCCCAAAAGCUUGGUCCUUCAGUACCUGCCUCAUGAUAUACAGCUACUUGUUGAUGAAGAGUGGAAUGUAUGGCUAAACUUUGGUGGAUCCAAUCUCUUCCGAGUAAGGCUCCGUAAGUGGAGGUGCAGUCCACCACAAAGAAUGCCAGCAUUAUCUUUUUGGAUCCCAAGUCCACCUCCAAAGGUAAUAUCCCAUGAGUCUUAGUGAUAGCACCUGAGAAGCUAGAGACCGUAAGGUCCGUGGGAAUAAGAUCUUCCGUACCUCUCCCAAUCUUUCUCAUCUGCUUGGCCGGUAACACGUUAACAGCUGCUCCUCCAUCAAUUAAAAUUCUUUUGAAGGGUACACCUUCCAAGUGAGCUGAAACAUAUAUAGGCUUCAGAUGGUUGGCCAACGAAAUACUCGGGCGGCUGAACACCAUCUCGUCUGUGUAAAUCCUUAGAAGACCACCCUUGGAUACUUCUGAGGGUUCAGCCUUGCCCGAGACUUGUUCUUCAGCUAUCUCCACAUUGACUUGUGCCAUCAUUGGCUCCGUUGUUAAGUAAUCACCCUCCAUAGUAGCAGGCUGAUCAGGUCUGGCACCAAACGUGGCGGAUAAUACAUACGCCAUGUUGAUGUGGAAAUUACUGGGCUCGAGUACAUCCUCCUUCUUGCUCCCAAUUUGGUCCAUGAAUUCAUCUAACCAGGCCAUCGCAUCGGCUGGAAGUAGUGGUUCUGGUAUCCCUUCCUGUUGUGGUUGAUCCAUGCCCUCGUACAGUGUUUGUUUUGGAACUUCACCAAAGGGAUCCACGAAUGGCAGAGAAAGUGGUCUUCUUUCAGAUGCAACAGUUCCCAUGUGAAUAGGCUCCGGCUUCCACCCAGGAGUUGAUACCAUGAUCAGAUCUUCUUGAGCUCUUCUCAAUAUCCUAUACUUCCCAGGAUGUUGGCUCUGCGGCACAUGAUCCCCCACACCCUCUGCUUUGCUAUUGGCUUUCUCUACCUCCUUUUUACUUCGCCAACGGAGCUGGCUACUACCUCCAGAUGUUGCUCUUUCCAACUUUUGAUUUUUUGAGGCUUCAGAGGUAGUGGGGGUCUUCAAAGAAUUCAUGUAGGCUUUGUGCUGCCUUUGAACCCUCCUGACCAUUGAGGCUCCCAUCGGUUUGGUGGGUUGUCCAUCCUUUCCGACUAUAUACCAUUUUCGCCCAAGAUGUGCAGGAUUCCCUUUUCUGCCGGGAUUAGCUAUCCCAUCAGUUCUCUUGACUUCCCCCCCCAUCUGGCCAUUCUGAAGAUGAUCUGCACCUCUCUGGAUUUUAGCCUCCAUUUUUUCUGCCUCGUCAGAAGCUUCAUGGUUUCGAAACACUUCUGACAAAGCCUUGGGUUGGGAAUCACCUCCUAAGCGUUGAAAAACACUUCGGGAAGUAUCCUUCUUUGUUGCCUGCUUAAUCUUUUCGCGGGCUUCUCUUCUUGUAUCUUCUUCUUUCCUCCUGAUUAACUCGUGAUCAAUGAGGACUCCAGCCGAGGGAAUCUCGAGCUCACAUUCACACUGGCAUUUACUACACAUAACCAUCCCCUUGAUUAUGGCAGCCUUUGGAUACUCAGGCAGUUUGAUUAUUCUCUCUGUAGGUUUUUCGGCCAGUCUUUCUUCUUCUUCCCUUGUAAUCUUCCCUUUUCCUUUCUCCGCCCAUGUCAUAUUGAGCAUAUUUAUAGGGGCCUCUAAGAAGGGAAAUGCAGGGUUGAUUACGACCAUCUCGUCUGGCUGGCUGUUUUUACGUCUUUUUCCUUUGGGAGGAACCACAUCUAUAUCACUUCUAGAGCCUGUGGAGGCUUUCUCCAAUCGUUGCAGCAUUUGAAACAACGUGGUCUAUAAGUCUUCUGGCAUAUCUGUUUCUCUAUCUUCUGAUUAGAGAUCCCACCGGGAGUGCCAAAACUAUGUUCGUGGCAGGAAUUUCCGUCGGGGAUGCUUUCCUGGCCAACGAGCACACAGCUCCCCUGGGAGGUCGGCACCGGUUGAGCCUGCUGUCGGGCUUCUACUUCGCGGUCGGGCUUUGUCGGGCAAGACUUGUCGGGCAAGUCUCGUCGGGCAAGACUCUUCAGGCAAGGCUCUUCGGGCAAGGCUGAAAGAGAAGGACAGCAUUAACUUUGAGAGGUGCCUUUGUGGGGCCUUAGGUGUAGGCUUUGAGGCUCACAAUCAAGGUUAACAUUUAAGUGCUCAGGCGUGCCACUGCCAUCUUUAGCAUGGCAGAUGUAGAAUGGUUGUCGUGCUUUAGUUGUAUAUAUGUAUGUAUCCAAGAAACCGUGUUAGUUAUAACAGGUGCCUUUGUGGGGCCUUAGGUUUAGGCCUUGAGGCUUCCCAUAAAUAACUAAACCAGUGCUCGAACACAUCAUAUUUAUUCUUGCGAUUGUAGGAGUUUUCUAACUAUUAUACUUCUGAUUACCCGAAUCCAAGAAGUAGAAUGAACCCAAAUAGGUGCCUUUGUGGGGCCUUAGGUGUAGGCCUUGAGGCUUCCCAUCAGAGUUCAUUCUUAUACUUAGACUCUUAGAUCGCAGAACGGAAUGAAUCCAAAUGGAUGCCUUUGUGGGGCCUUAGGUGUAGGCCUUGAGGCUUUCCAUCAGAAUCCAUUUCAUGCUCAAGCGUUCUAUGGAAAUCAUGAUAUAAUAGAAACAAAACCAAGAGGUAGGUCGAUUACUUGCGCCCCAAGUAACUUCGGACUUCUCGUUUAUCAAGGAUUGUCGUGGAUGGGUUGAGUCCACAUAAAGUUCUUUUUUAUGCCUUGAGGCCAAGGACUUUUAAACUAAUCAGAUUUACAUGCCCGAGGGCUUAGGACUUGGAUCUGAUUUAAACACUGAAGAUAUAUUCAAAUCGGAUCCAAGUACUGAGAAAGCUUUGUCAUCGUGAUUUUGCUAGAAACAACUUGCAUAUAACUGGAAGUAUACAACAUAUUGCUAGAUUUUAAAGAAAGACAAGACAAAGACAGAGCAAAGCAGGUCGGGCAAGAUUAAACCUUAUCAAUUAAGGCUGAUCGUCUUGCAGGUCCCUAUCUUUGUAGUUUUGUCAAAGGUCUGAAAGCUUAGAGGGGGAGAGGGGGAAAGGAGAAUACAAAAGGUGAAUCGAUACUACAACAAGUUCGAACAAGGUAGCAGAGCUAUUACAGAGGUUGGGAGAAAAGAUUAUCCCGCGAGGGAUGAAGGCUUGUUCCGAAUGGGAUGAAGGCUUGGGCUGACUACAGCUUCGUUUUGAAAGGCAAAUCUGGCUUUUUGAGCAGAGUUUGUGCUUUUGUUUGUUUGAUUGAGUGUCUUUAUUCCUGUCUUCUCUUCCUCCUUUUAUAGACGACUCGGUUUGGCUCCUGUAGCGACAGCUUUGCCCGAAUGCGGUCUGAGGGUGAUGACUCAUCAGCUUUAUUACAUGUAAUGCCACCAUAAAGUACUUUAUGGGCUGUGCAGUCUGAUCAGUCUACACCACUUGGUCCUUGGGUAGGUAGGCAAGUGGCCCUUAUGAAUUGUAUCAAGUCAGAAAAUGCCCUUUCCUGCUUUCCUAAGUUUCAGCCGGGCCUUGAUCUUCUAUUCCUCCAGGCCUCCUUUUGGGUCGACUCCAUCCUUGGGCCAAAAAUCAAGUUUUAAUCCAAACAGUAUGUUACUAGCUUUUAAAUCUCUAUGAAUUACUUUCUUUCUUGAGUAUUUGUGCAGGUAAAGCAACCCUUAAGCAAUUCCUUCGAGAAUGCUAAAACGCUUCUUCCAAUCUAGUAGUAGACCUCUGAUUGGAUCUGUCCAAUAUGUAGAGUUAAGUAGGACUAAUAUUAAUUAAUAGUAGUAAUCUAUGAACUUUGACAGUAAAAUAAAAGACAGAUAUCAAAUUUAACAAAUGAAAUCAAGUAUCUUGGUUCCUCACCAAAUAAAAAGUGGUCCAAACUUUUGUUCUGCAGAUACUCAUAUAUCAACAUCAUCUCUUCGCCAUGAAUGCAAAAUCCGAAAAGCUGAACCAGGUUUGUAUGUUGGAGUUCAUAUAUAAGUAUCAGUUCAUUCUUGAAUUCUGAUGUUCCUUGCCCUGAACAUUUCGAAAGCCUCUUCACAGCUAUUUCUUGUCCCAUCGCCAAUUUCC
rnacentral:lncRNA from 1 species